AGGACGAACGCUGCCCGGGUUUCCUAAUACGUGCAAGUCGAACGCUUCUUUCCUCCCGAGUGCUUAGCACUCAAUUGGAACAGACGGAGUGGGCCGGACCGGGUGAGUAACACGUGGGUAACCUACCCAUCAGAGGGGGAUGACACUUGGAAACAGGUGCUAAUACCCGCAUAACAGUUUAUGCCGCAUGGCCAUAAGCAGUGAAAGGCGCUUUCGGGUGUCGCUGAUGGAUGGACCCGCGGUGCAUUAGCGUAGUUGGUGAGGUAACGGCUCACCAAGGCCACGAUGCAUAGCCGACCUGAGAGGGUGAUCGGCACACUGGGACUGAGACACGGCCAGACUCCUACGGGAGGCAGCAGUAGGGAAUCUUCGGCAAUGGACGAAACGUCUGACCGAGCAACGCCGCGUGAGUGACCGAAGGUUUCCGGAUCGUAAAACCUCUGUUGUCAGAGAAGAACAAGGACGUUCAGUAACUGAACGUCCCCUGACGGUAUCUAACCAGAAAGCCACGGCUAACUACGUGCCAGCAGCCGCGGUCACUACGUAGUGGCAAGCGGUUGUCCGGAUCUCAUUGGGCGUAAACGCGAGCGCACGCGGUACACUUACAGUCUCGAUCGUCGAAAGCCCCCGGUCAACCGGGGCAGGGUCAUUUGGCACCUGGGGAAACUUGCUUCGCCCAACGAAGGGCAGCAGUGGGAAUACCCC
rnacentral:rRNA from 1 species